AUGAACGCUGGCGGCGUGCCUAAUACAUGCAAGUCGAGCGAACAGACGAGGAGCUUGCUCCUCUGACGUUAGCGGCGGACGGGUGAGUAACACGUGGAUAACCUACCUAUAAGACUGGGAUAACUUCGGGAAACCGGAGCUAAUACCGGAUAAUAUAUUGAACCGCAUGGUUCAAUAGUGAAAGACGGUUUUGCUGUCACUUAUAGAUGGAUCCGCGCCGCAUUAGCUAGUUGGUAAGGUAACGGCUUACCAAGGCGACGAUGCGUAGCCGACCUGAGAGGGUGGUGGGCCACACUGAAACUGGCAACGGGCCCAACUCCCUAGGGAGGGAACCGGAGGGGAAUUUUCCGAAUGGGGGGAAGCCCUGAGGGGGAACGCCGGGGGGGUGAAUAAGGGUUUCGGAUUCGAAAACCUUUUUUUUUGGGAAAAAAAAAAUUUGAAAGUAACUUUCCCCGUUUUAAGGGUCCUAAUUAAAAAACCCCGGCCAAAUUCGGG
rnacentral:rRNA from 1 species